rnacentral:tRNA from 1 species
AGGUAGUAGGUUUUAAAACAACGGUCUACUAAACCGUAUGUGGAGGUUCGAAUCCCCCACCCCCUU